rnacentral:rRNA from 1 species
AACGAACGCUGGCGGCGUGUCUUAAGCAUGCAAGUCGAGCGGCAAGGGCUAGCAAUAGCCCCUAGAGCGGCGGACGGGUGAGUAACACGUGAGUAAUCUGCCUUCUGCAGGGGAAUAACAUUGUGAAAACAGUGCUAAUACCGCAUGACAUCCGACUGGGACAUCCCGGACGGACCAAAGGAGAAAUCCGGCAGAAGAUGAGCUCGCGUCCGAUUAGCUAGUUGGCGGGGUAACGGCCCACCAAGGCUUCGAUCGGUAGCCGAACUGAGAGGUUGAUCGGCCACAUUGGGACUGAGACACGGCCCAGACUCCUACGGGAGGCAG